UGGGGAAUAUUGCACAAUGGGCGCAAGCCUGAUGCAGCCAUGCCGCGUGUGUGAAGAAGGCCUUCGGGUUGUAAAGCACUUUCAGUAAGGAGGAAAGGUUGGAUGUUAAUAGCAUUCAGCUGUGACGUUACUUACAGAAGAAGCACCGGCUAACUCCGUGCCAGCAGCCGCGGUAAUACGGAGGGUGCGAGCGUUAAUCGGAAUUACUGGGCGUAAAGCGUACGCAGGCGGUUUGUUAAGCGAGAUGUGAAAGCCCCGGGCUCAACCUGGGAACUGCAUUUCGAACUGGCAAACUAGAGUGUGAUAGAGGGUGGUAGAAUUUCAGGUGUAGCGGUGAAAUGCGUAGAGAUCUGAAGGAAUACCGAUGGCGAAGGCAGCCACCUGGGUCAACACUGACGCU
rnacentral:rRNA from 1 species